CCUGUUAUCUGACCAAUAACAGAAUGCACCACAGCGUAAAAUCAUCUGAUUGGGUGAGUUGGUCGCACCGCCAUUUGACGAACGAACGCCAAGCCUAAGCCGUCUUUGUGCAUUAAGUGGGUAAAGGUUGGUUUAGUAGCGGUUUCCCCCACGACAAGGGGU
rnacentral:ncRNA from 1 species